rnacentral:rRNA from 1 species
AGCGAACGCUGGCGGCAGGCCUAACACAUGCAAGUCGAGCGCCCAGCAAUGGGAGCGGCAGACGGGUGAGUAACGCGUGGGGAUCUGCCCAAUGGUACGGAAUAACCCAGGGAAACUUGGAUUAAUACCGUAUGUGCCCUUCGGGGGAAAGAUUUAUCGCCAUUGGAUGAACCCGCGUCGGAUUAGCUAGUUGGUGAGGUAAAGGCUCACCAAGGCGACGAUCCGUAGCUGGUCUGGGAGGAUGAUCAGCCACACUGGGACUGAGACACGGCCCAGACACCUACGGGAGGCAGCAGUGGGGAAUAUUGGACAAUGGGCGCAAGCCUGAUCCAGCCAUGCCGCGUGAGUGAUGAAGGCCUUAGGGUUGUAAAGCUCUUUCGCCGGUGAAGAUAAUGACGGUAACCGGAGAAGAAGCCCCGGCUAACUUCGUGCCAGCCGCCGCCGUAAUAC